rnacentral:rRNA from 1 species
AGAGUUUGAUCCUGGCUCAGAUUGAACGCUGGCGGCAUGCCUUACACAUGCAAGUCGAACGGCAGCACGGGUGCUUGCACCUGGUGGCGAGUGGCGAACGGGUGAGUAAUACAUCGGAACAUGUCCUGUAGUGGGGGAUAGCCCGGCGAAAGCCGGAUUAAUACCGCAUACGAUCUAUGGAUGAAAGCGGGGGACCUUCGGGCCUCGCGCUAUAGGGUUGGCCGAUGGCUGAUUAGCUAGUUGGUGGGGUACAGGCCUACCAAGGCGACGAUCAAUAGCUGGUCUGAGAGGACGACCAGCCACACUGGGACUGAGACACGGCCCAGACUCCUACGGGAGGCAGCAGUGGGGAAUUUUGGACAAUGGGCGAAAGCCUGAUCCAGCAAUGCCGCGUGUGUGAAGAAGGCCUUCGGGUUGUAAAGCACUUUUGUCCGGAAAGAAAUCCUUGGCUCUAAUACAGUCGGGGGAUGACGGUACCGGAAGAAUAAGCACCGGCUAACUACGUGCCAGCAGCCGCGGUAAUACGUAGGGUGCAAGCGUUAAUCGGAAUUACUGGGCGUAAAGCGUGCGCAGGCGGUUUGCUAAGACCGAUGUGAAAUCCCCGGGCUCAACCUGGGAACUGCAUUGGUGACUGGCAGGCUAGAGUAUGGCAGAGGGGGGUAGAAUUCCACGUGUAGCAGUGAAAUGCGUAGAGAUGUGGAGGAAUACCGAUGGCGAAGGCAGCCCCCUGGGCCAAUACUGACGCUCAUGCACGAAAGCGUGGGGAGCAAACAGGAUUAGAUACCCUGGUAGUCCACGCCCUAAACGAUGUCAACUAGUUGUUGGGGAUUCAUUUCCUUAGUAACGUAGCUAACGCGUGAAGUUGACCGCCUGGGGA